AACGAACGCUGGCGGCAGGCUUAACACAUGCAAGUCGAACGCGUGUAGCAAUACACGAGUGGCGCAAGGGUGAGUAACGCGUGGAUAUCUGCCUUUUGGUUCGGAAUAACCCAGGGAAACUGGGGCUAAUACCGGAUGGUUCCUUCGGGAUAAAGGUUUUGCGCCAAACGAUGAGUCCGCGGACGAUUGUCUAGUUGGUGAGGUAAUGGCUCACCAAGGCGACGAUCGUUGGCUUGUCUGAGAGGACCGUCAGCCACACGGGGACGGAGACACGGCCCAUACUCCUACGGGAGGCAGCAGUGGGGAAUAUUGGCCAAUGGGGGCAACCCUGAUCCAGCCGUGCCGCGUGAGUGAUGAAGGCCUUCGGGUUGUGAAGCUCUUUUGGCGGGGACGAUGAUGACGGUACCCGCAGAAUAAGCCCCGGCUAACUUCGUGCCAGCAGCCGCCGUAA
rnacentral:rRNA from 1 species